GAUGAACGCUGGCGGCGUGCCUAACACAUGCAAGUCGAACGGUCUACUUCGGUAGACAGUGGCAAACGGGUGCGUAACACGUAGGCAUCUACCCAUAAGCUGGGGACAACGACGGGAAACUGUCGCUAAUACCCGAUGUGGUCUGCGGACUAAAGACGUAAGUCGCUUAUGGAGGAGCCUGCGGCCUAUCAGGUAGUUGGUGCGGUAACGGCGCACCAAGCCGACGACGGGUAGGGGGUGUGAGAGCAUGACCCCCCACACGGGACGUGAGACACGGCCCGACCUCCUACGGGAGGCAGCAGUGAGGGAGUAUUGGGCGAAUGGGCGGCAAGCCUGACCCACGCGACGCCGCGUGGAGGAGAAGGG
rnacentral:rRNA from 1 species